GACGAACGCUGGCGGCGUGCUUAACACAUGCAAGUCGAACGGUGAAUCUCCUUCCUUUUUGGUGGGUGUGGAUCAGUGUCGAACGGGUGAGUAACACGUGAGUAACCUGCCCCCUUCUUCUCGAUAACCGCAUUAAAGUGUGGCUAAUACCGGAUAUUCUGGGUCUUUCGCAUGAUUGUUCUGGUAAAGAUAUUGUUUCGCUUGCGGAUGGGCUCGCGGCCUAUCAGCUUGUUGGUGGGGUGAUGGCCUACCAAGGCGGGGACGGGUAGCCGGCCUGAGAGGGUGGACGGUCGCGAGGGGACUGAGACACGGCACAGACUACUAAGGGAGGCAACAGUGGUGAAUAUUGCACAAUGGGAGAAAGCCUGAUGCAGCGACGCAGCGUGAGGGAUGGAGGCCUCCGGGUUGUGAACCUCUUUCGCCAGUGAAGCAGGCCUGCUACGUUUGUGGGUGGGUUGACGGUAGCUGGAUAAGAAGCGCCGGCUAACUACGUG
rnacentral:rRNA from 1 species